AAGCACCAAGUGAAGUAUCGUCAGAGAUUGCCACUAACCCGUUAUACUAUCCUUAUUUCAAGGAUUGCAUUGGCAUGAUAGAUGGAACCCAUAUCGACGCCAUGCUUCCCGCUAGCCUUGUUGCACGUUUUAGAGGUCGUAAAGGUGUAACUCAAAAUAUUCUAGCUGCAUGCACUCCUAA